rnacentral:lncRNA from 1 species
GCAUUUUGUCACAUCAGCCCAGGACGAGAGCAGCCAACUAAAGAGCUUCUCGAUGUUGCAUUGUAAAAGAUAAGAAAAGAAUCCCAUUGAAUGGCUAGCAAGCAGAAGCAUGCAUGUCAGCUCCUUCUGGAAUGGAAUGGCAGCCCUGCCCCCCAACUUCACAGAGAUACAGAGACUGUGGUAAUUCAGAAGAAGAAGAAGAAGAAGAAGAAGAAGAAGAAAGAUGGGCAAGAGGGAUUCCAUUUGGGGGGAAUCGUUCUCAACCAACUUUACAAUGUAACUUAUGAAUAUUUGAUCUUUGAAUCUCUAUGGCAUAUAGGAAAAUUUCUUUUAAUUGUAUGGAGCACUGUUGUAUGUAUAUAGUUUAACACUGAAAAUUCUUAACCACUUGAAUAAAUUCUUAAGUUGCAUGUUUAGACUUUUAUCU